CCACCGGCACCCGGGAGCCGGGGUCGCAGGGGCUGGGCUUGCGGGCAGGGGUCGGGGAUGGCCUGAGAGAGGCGCGACUUGGGGCCGUGGGAAGGACGGUCUUCCCCGCAGAGUUGCGCUCGAGGACGGAAAGUUUUUGCACGCAGCCCCUCCAGCGCGUCCUUCCCUCUCCGGUGCCUGUCGCCCACGGUGAGGCGCCCCCGCGAGGAUUCCCGCCGCUUAGUGGGGAGGGGCCGAGCAGCCCCCUUCUCCGACGACCACCCCAAGCCAGGGAGGGGACCCUGGUGACCUCUCCUCCCAGCCACCUCUCCCUCCACCGUGUCUUCUCUUUCACGGUGUACCUUGGGCCGUGGAGGAUUCUGCGGAUGCCUUUGGGAGCCGGAUAGAUGGAAGUGGUUCUAAAAAGCAGUUUCUCUGACUAUGGAGAUAAUAAUACCAUCUUUGUGAAACUAUAACCCACCUAUGACUUCGUAACUAUGGAUAACAUGGCUGUCGAUUAGAUUACACCGCUGGGAGCCAGAGAAUGAAGAAGGCAUUGCUCAUCCAACUACUAGAUUUUUACACUUGACUUCAGAUGAAAAUUGAGAAAAAUGACAGCGGUUGGUUUAAUUAAAAAGGAGACUCUCCCAACGACCAAAUAAAGAAAUCAGUUCAAUGGAGAUGACAAUGGAAAAUACCUAUUUAAUUUGAAUAACACCUGGUUCUGGGGAAGUGCAUCAAAUACGGAGCCAGCAUUCGCUCAGUGUGAUUCAUGAGCUGUUUCACCACAUUAUUGAAAAGAAGAGAGGAGGGAAUAUUAGCUCUCUCAUUUGAGGAUAUUAAACUCCUGCUUGGGUUGAGGCGCUGUGUGCGCAUCCUACUUCCUACUUAAACCGAUGUUGGGAGUUACCUGGAGGCGAUGAGGAGAAAAUGACAUGUUCCAUUAAAAUGAGGCAUCCCUGGAAUUGUUUGAUGUUCUUUGCUUUAAUUGAAUCUAUCUAUCCCAUCUGCCACUCUUUUCUCUAAAUUUAUUUUCCUAACCCUCUCUCUCUGAGAAUUGUAAUUUGGGGGGAAAUUUUACAUACGUUGUUACCUUUUAUAAAAGCUCCCUGUAUCUGGAGGGCAGAUGUGCUGUGUCUCCCUCACCUUGUUAGAUUAGGUUGCCUGCCUCUUCCCUGAUCCCUGUGUGUUGGUAGAUCAAAUAGGACUGGGAUAAGGCCCUAGAAGCACCAGGAGUAGGAAAGAAAAUGGGAAUUCCAGGCUUUUUGUUAUUGGUUUCAAUAUAAGACCCUAGCCACGUGCCUGGUCUGAAUAAACAUGGACUCUAUUAAUAAAUAUCACUACAAAAACAUGAAAUUUGCAUUCUGACUGGGGCAGAAAAGCCAACAUGGGAGUGUGUUAUCUCGAGGUAGAGCUGCCGUGAAUCCCCUGGCAGAUUCAACCGUGACUUUGAUCACUUGGGGCUCCCCAGACUGGCUCUGAUGCUGCAGGCUGAGGAGACCUCUGCUUCCCAGAGUGUGGUAGGUCCAGCCCCACCCCUAGCCGCUGCUCUUUCUUGGGGGGUGGGCAGGAAAAAAGAUAGCUUCUCUUUAGCCUUGUUGUAGAAAUAACUUUGAGCCCUUAACCUAAAUAUAAAUAAAUACAAAUUUAACGUUAAUGUACACAAAUUAAUCGGAACGAAGCCCACCCACCCCAUCCAAACUCACCAGUAAUAUAAUUGGGGAGGCAAUGCAGGUGGAGGCCAGAGCACAGGCUU